GGCAGGAUAUCUCAGUUGGUUAGAGGGAUCGGUUCAUAUCCGAUAGGUCGCGGGUUCGAGCCCCGCUCCUGCUACCA
rnacentral:tRNA from 5 species